rnacentral:other from 1 species
GAACACCUGGGAUGUACGAUAAUCCUGUAUAUUUAGAACCUACAUUUACUUUAAACGGGACACCUAAAUCGCUUAUUAGAUGUCAAGCCUCCGAUUUAGACAGUGGAAGGCAGAAGAUAAGUUGCGGUAACCCACCUAGCAUUGGCUAGGAGUCUAAAUUGCGGGAACCGGCAUUUUGGGUUCCUU